GAUGAACGCUGGCGGCGUGCCUAAUACAUGCAAGUCGAGCGAACAGACGAGGAGCUUGCUCCUCUGACGUUAGCGUCGGACGGGUGAGUAACACGUGGAUAACCUACCUAUAAGACUGGGAUAACUUCGGGAAACCGGAGCUAAUACCGGAUAAUAUAUUCAACCGCAUGGUUCAAUAGUGAAAGACGGUUUUGCUGUCACUUAUAGAUGUAUCCGCGCCGCAUUAGCUAGUUGGUAAGGUAACGGCUUACCAAGGCAACGAUGCGUAGCCGACCUGAGAGGGUGAUCGGCCACACUGGAACUGAGACACGGUCCAGACUCCUACGGGAGGCAGCAGUAGGGAAUCUUCCGCAAUGGGCGAAAGCCUGACGGAGCAACGCCGCGUGAGUGAUGAAGGUCUUCGGAUCGUAAAACUCUGUUAUUAGGGAAGAACAAAUGUGUAAGUAACUAUGCACGUCUUGACGGUACCUAAUCAGAAAGCCACGGCUAACUACGUG
rnacentral:rRNA from 1 species